rnacentral:rRNA from 1 species
UUAAGCGACUAAGCGUACACGGUGGAUGCCCUGGCAGUCAGAGGCGAUGAAGGACGUGCUAAUCUGCGAUAAGCGUCGGUAAGGUGAUAUGAACCGUUAUAACCGGCGAUUUCCGAAUGGGGAAACCCAGUGUGUUUCGACACACUAUCAUUAACUGAAUCCAUAGGUUAAUGAGGCGAACCGGGGGAACUGAAACAUCUAAGUACCCCGAGGAAAAGAAAUCAACCGAGAUUCCCCCAGUAGCGGCGAGCGAACGGGGAGGAGCCCAGAGCCUGAAUCAGUGUGUGUGUUAGUGGAAGCGUCUGGAAAGGCGCGCGAUACAGGGUGACAGCCCCGUACACAAAAAUGCACAUGCUGUGAGCUCGAUGAGUAGGGCGGGACACGUGGUAUCCUGUCUGAAUAUGGGGGGACCAUCCUCCAAGGCUAAAUACUCCUGACUGACCGAUAGUGAACCAGUACCGUGAGGGAAAGGCGAAAAGAACCCCGGCGAGGGAGUAGAAAAAGAACCUGAAACCGUGUACGUACAAGCAGUGGGAGCACAGAGCAAUCUGUGUGACUGCGUACCUUUUGUAUAAUGGGUCAGCGACUUAUAUUCUGUAGCAAGGUUAACCGAAUAGGGGAGCCGAAGGGAAACCGAGUCUUAACUGGGCGUUAAGUUGCAGGGUAUAGACCCGAAACCCGGUGAUCUAGCCAUGGGCAGGUUGAAGGUUGGGUAACACUAACUGGAGGACCGAACCGACUAAUGUUGAAAAAUUAGCGGAUGACUUGUGGCUGGGGGUGAAAGGCCAAUCAAACCGGGAGAUAGCUGGUUCUCCCCGAAAGCUAUUUAGGUAGCGCCUCGUGAAUUCAUCUCCGGGGGUAGAGCACUGUUUCGGCAAGGGGGUCAUCCCGACUUACCAACCCGAUGCAAACUGCGAAUACCGGAGAAUGUUAUCACGGGAGACACACGGCGGGUGCUAACGUCCGUCGUGAAGAGGGAAACAACCCAGACCGCCAGCUAAGGUCCCAAAGUCAUGGUUAAGUGGGAAACGAUGUGGGAAGGCCCAGACAGCCAGGAUGUUGGCUUAGAAGCAGCCAUCAUUUAAAGAAAGCGUAAUAGCUCACUGGUCGAGUCGGCCUGCGCGGAAGAUGUAACGGGGCUAAACCAUGCACCGAAGCUGCGGCAGCGACACUGUGUGUUGUUGGGUAGGGGAGCGUUCUGUAAGCCUGUGAAGGUGUGCUGUGAGGCAUGCUGGAGGUAUCAGAAGUGCGAAUGCUGACAUAAGUAACGAUAAAGCGGGUGAAAAGCCCGCUCGCCGGAAGACCAAGGGUUCCUGUCCAACGUUAAUCGGGGCAGGGUGAGUCGACCCCUAAGGCGAGGCCGAAAGGCGUAGUCGAUGGGAAACAGGUUAAUAUUCCUGUACUUGGUGUUACUGCGAAGGGGGGACGGAGAAGGCUAUGUUGGCCGGGCGACGGUUGUCCCGGUUUAAGCGUGUAGGCUGGUUUUCCAGGCAAAUCCGGAAAAUCAAGGCUGAGGCGUGAUGACGAGGCACUACGGUGCUGAAGCAACAAAUGCCCUGCUUCCAGGAAAAGCCUCUAAGCAUCAGGUAACAUCAAAUCGUACCCCAAACCGACACAGGUGGUCAGGUAGAGAAUACCAAGGCGCUUGAGAGAACUCGGGUGAAGGAACUAGGCAAAAUGGUGCCGUAACUUCGGGAGAAGGCACGCUGAUAUGUAGGUGAAGUCCCUCGCGGAUGGAGCUGAAAUCAGUCGAAGAUACCAGCUGGCUGCAACUGUUUAUUAAAAACACAGCACUGUGCAAACACGAAAGUGGACGUAUACGGUGUGACGCCUGCCCGGUGCCGGAAGGUUAAUUGAUGGGGUCAGCGCAAGCGAAGCUCUUGAUCGAAGCCCCGGUAAACGGCGGCCGUAACUAUAACGGUCCUAAGGUAGCGAAAUUCCUUGUCGGGUAAGUUCCGACCUGCACGAAUGGCGUAAUGAUGGCCAGGCUGUCUCCACCCGAGACUCAGUGAAAUUGAACUCGCUGUGAAGAUGCAGUGUACCCGCGGCAAGACGGAAAGACCCCGUGAACCUUUACUAUAGCUUGACACUGAACAUUGAGCCUUGAUGUGUAGGAUAGGUGGGAGGCUUUGAAGUGUGGACGCCAGUCUGCAUGGAGCCGACCUUGAAAUACCACCCUUUAAUGUUUGAUGUUCUAACGUGGACCCGUGAUCCGGGUUGCGGACAGUGUCUGGUGGGUAGUUUGACUGGGGCGGUCUCCUCCUAAAGAGUAACGGAGGAGCACGAAGGUUGGCUAAUCCUGGUCGGACAUCAGGAGGUUAGUGCAAUGGCAUAAGCCAGCUUGACUGCGAGCGUGACGGCGCGAGCAGGUGCGAAAGCAGGUCAUAGUGAUCCGGUGGUUCUGAAUGGAAGGGCCAUCGCUCAACGGAUAAAAGGUACUCCGGGGAUAACAGGCUGAUACCGCCCAAGAGUUCAUAUCGACGGCGGUGUUUGGCACCUCGAUGUCGGCUCAUCACAUCCUGGGGCUGAAGUAGGUCCCAAGGGUAUGGCUGUUCGCCAUUUAAAGUGGUACGCGAGCUGGGUUUAGAACGUCGUGAGACAGUUCGGUCCCUAUCUGCCGUGGGCGCUGGAGAACUGAGGGGGGCUGCUCCUAGUACGAGAGGACCGGAGUGGACGCAUCACUGGUGUUCGGGUUGUCAUGCCAAUGGCACUGCCCGGUAGCUAAAUGCGGAAGAGAUAAGUGCUGAAAGCAUCUAAGCACGAAACUUGCCCCGAGAUGAGUUCUCCCUGACCCUUUAAGGGUCCUGAAGGAACGUUGAAGACGACGACGUUGAUAGGCCGGGUGUGUAAGCGCAGCGAUGCGUUGAGCUAACCGGUACUAAUGAACCGUGAGGCUUAACCUU